CCUACGGGUGGCAGCAGUGGGGAAUAUUGCACAAUGGGGGAAACCCUGAUGCAGCGACGCCGCGUGAGUGAAGAAGUAAUUCGUUAUGUAAAGCUCUAUCAGCAGGGAAGCAAAUGACGGUACCUGAGUACGAAGCCCCGGCUACCUACGUGCCAGCAGCCGCGGUAAUACGUAGGGGGCAAGCGUUAUCCGGAUUUACUGGGUGUUAAGGGGGCGUAGACGGGAGUGAAAGUCUGGAGGGAAAGGGGGGGGGUCAACCCCCGGACUGCUCGGGAAACUGUACGGCUGGAGUGAAGGCGGGGGAAGUGGAAUUCCUAGGGGAGCGGGGAAAUGCGUAGAUAUUAGGAGGAAAACCAGUGGCGAAGG
rnacentral:rRNA from 1 species